UGAGGGAGAAUUGGAAAUUAACAAAAAUAUUAUUAGGUCAAAUAAAUAGUUAAGUGAAAGGGGUGAAAUUUAUUUGUACUUGAAAUCUGAAAAAGAGAGAAAGAGGCAAGGAACCCUAAAGAGCUCUAGGAAGGAGAAAUCAUAUCCAAGACCUUGAAUUUGAUGGUGGAAGUUAAGAUACUCCGGAGGAGCAAUAACUGAUAGGAGUUGGAAGAUGGAAUUGAGGCUUUUGUUUAUUUAUCGUUUUCAUUAUUUAGUUUUCGGUUGUUCUGAUAUGUAACACUGGGAACGAGUCGUUAUCGUUGAUUGACUUGAUUGUUUUGGAUUUGUUUAAAUUCAACAAGUACUUUAUUUUGAAGAUAUAAUUUAAAGUAUAUGUUUAUGUUGA